GUCCUUAUGGAACUUGUGACUGAUUAUCUGGAGUCUUGAUAAUGUUCCUGUCAUCCUGUGUCCUUGAUACUGCUCCUGUGUCCAAAAUAUGGCAUCAUGAUUCUUGGCUUGGCUCAAUUGCAGCCCUCAUAUCUACCUCUAUACGUCAUAGUAUAAUUUAAUGCCUCCACUUGGGUUUAAUUUUCAUGCUUGCUUGUUUCAUUUUCUAUUAAAUUGAUCUGAAACAUGAUAUACUCUUUGCUUCAAUAUUUUCUCUUGAAUAUUCAUAUUAA
rnacentral:misc_RNA from 1 species